AUCACUGAAGACUUGACACCGGCGGAAUCGGACGUCCCCCCCCUCCCUCAUCCCCAGUGCUCCCCAGACUGAACCAGGUGUCCUUCUUAUGCGAACGGGAGCGUCGUCCCACGUCCUGUCCGCGGCAAUCUGUCCGCUUCCGCCGGAGGGACAGACUUUUUUUUCCUUCUUUUUCCGCGCCCCAAUGUCAGAAGAGGCGCAGACCCGAGACAAUGACGCCCAGAAGUUAUAGAACCGGUAUAAAAGAGAUGGCAAGUGAAGAAAAAACCCCAACCGAUCUAAGCCUUCGCCGCAGAGGGAAGGAAGGGAAGCUCAAGAGCAAAUGAGGAGAAGACGAGCGAUGAAAGAGAGGUCCAGACAUGAAGGGCGCAUGCAUCCACACACAAACACACACGGGGACCGGCACCUAGAGUCUGUCUGCGGUCUGCCUCCUCCCUGCAGCACCGACACACAACACGCCUGCUACGGGCAGCAGAUAAAAGGAGAGACGCCAUUCCAGCUGUGAGGAGACGGAAGAAGUCAACAUACACACAGACACACACACACACACACACAGAGCUGGAGGCGCGUGAGCAGGUGAGCAUUAAGUCAGGCAGCUAAACAGAUCACGUCGCGGUAUGAUAUCUGCAGACAGGCAGACAGAGGAGGCCGGUCUGUACCUGCAGGCAGAGAGCAACAACUCGCAGCCACACUCGCCAGGAAUUUCCUCCUCCUGAGACAGAGAGAGAGAGAGAGAGAGAGAGAGAGAGGCUUCUUUUGACUGUGUUUUAGGCAAAUCAAAGUAAAAGCCUAAUUACAAACCGGCCCGCAAAUACUCAAUUUCAGAUGCUUAAACAGCAUUUUUAGAUUAGAAACCAGAAACAAAUAUUUACUACAUUAUUUUUAUUAAAGCAUGAGAGACCUGUACUUCAGGCCAGCGAUGCAUAAAAAUAAGAAUUUAUUGAAACAUUACUAAUAUUAGCAAUGAAGGCUGUUUGUGUUAUUCCUCAGAUUAUAAACCAUCUAGAUUGUAAAACUUUCUGUUGCUGUGUUUUUAUAUUCAAAUCAGGUCAUGACGAAAAAAAAAUGUAUUUCUUUGUAGUUUCCCACCAGGCAAAGGUUUGCUUUUGCACCUGAAAUUACUGUUAUGGAGUAAUAAUCAUUUGAGGCUAUAGUUAAGAGGAUAAUGAGAUGAACUCUCCCAAUAUUUACCCUUCUUUGGUUGAUCUGCAUAGUUUUCAAUUGUUGGCUUUUCAUUCAUAAACAACCUGCUCAGCAUAUGUAUGCAGCCGUCUGUGGUGUCCAUAAUCACAUUCAAAAUAAUUACCCUUUGGGGAAAACCC